GGAUACACUCCUCGAUACGAGGUGGCACCACCAUUUUACUUUUACCAACCAUGAUAAUGAAGAGGCUUUCUCUUUUUAGGGAACAAUUUUAGAUUUUUAGCUAUAAUGUCUUAGAUAUUCAAGAGAAGAGAAAAGGUUGAUGAUGAAGUAAGAAUAAAUUGAGAGAAAUGUGACCUUGGAAGUAAAGUUCGAAAAAUUGUGAAGUUGGCCUAUUUAUAGAGAUCAGUUAAGCGUAUUGGAAAAGCCAAAUAGCCGACUGUCAACCACUAAUGACCUUAGUAACUGUGCAGACACGACCUUUCAAUCACUUCAGACACUGACAUCACGAGAUUGGUAUCGAGAUAUUGAAGGGUUGAGAGUCAAUUUGUCUCUUAUCAUUUUAUUCUAAAAAAUGCGGGGACUAUUCGUAUACGGUUGAAAUCAAGUAUGCCUGAUUUACCGGGCUCGAGAUAUCGCUUACGAUUGAUUUCAGGUAAGGUUGAGUUCGAGCUUGACGGACCAGACUCGAGAUCGAAGACAACAUGCAAUGCCCGAGAUCGAAGUAUGCGAGGAAUAUCGGAGCCAAUUAUGAUCGACUCCGAGAUAGUUCCAUUGUGAGUUUGUUACAGAAGGACAAGAUUCUCGCCACGUCCCUAAGAUCAUGGCGUAAAUUCCGGAAUAGAUUUGUACGAAUCAGUAGAAAUCCGUAUUAGGUGAUUAUACAACUGUCUUCAUAAGAUUCUUUACUGUAAAUAGAAAUGUAUCUUAUUUAGGACAGCCCUCUUAUAUAAAGGGGACCCCAAUCAUUUGUAAAGAUCAUCUAAUCAUUGGCAAAGAAUAUAUUAUGUUACUUUUUCGCUCAUUAUUUAUUAGAAUUAUCCUUUAGCUUUAUUAUUCUGGCUUUAUUGUUCUUGACUGAUCUUGAGGUCGCUAGAGCUCGAGGUCAAUACUGCCUACUAACUUAUCUACUAGUUUGGUCUUGCUUAUUCCCUUCAUCUAUACUUCAUAUUUCUUGAUUACUAAUUGGUAUUGGACUAAAUCACGUAUCUUUAAAAUAACAAAUUAAAUUUAAUUGUUACUAGUAUUUUUAAGGUAAAAAACUAUAAAACAUUGUUCAUUCAUUAGACAAGAAGAAAAUUAUUAGGUAGCAAAUGAUGUUAACACAAUAAAUGUCUAGCUUUUAGGUUUGCAUAUUCAUCAAGUGUGUCAUUAAGCGAGUUUGGAACUAAAAUGUGGUUCUUUUGUGCACAAAGAACAAAAAUAUGUGGGAAAAAAACUUAGUGAUCAAAAUAUAUAUAGCUUUUCUUUGAAAGACGCUAUAUUUAACGGUCGUUUGGCUAGUUACGUAUAGCGUCUUUUUUAAAAGACGCUAUAUCUGAACUAAAAAAGCCGAAAACUAUAGCAUCUUUUGUUAAU
rnacentral:lncRNA from 1 species